AGAGUUUGAUCCUGGCUCAGGAUGAACGCUAGCGGCAGGCUUAACACAUGCAAGUCGAGGGGCAUCGCGGAGUAGCAAUACUUUGGCGGCGACCGGCGGAAGGGUGCGUAACGCGUGAGCAACAUUCCCGUAUCAGGGGCAUAACCGGUGGAAACGCCGACUAAUUUCCCAUAACAACGACCAUCACCUGGUGGAUGUUUGAAAGCUGAGGCGGAUACGGAUUGGCUCGCGUGACAUUAGCUAGUUGGAGUGGUAACGGCACACCAAGGCUACGAUGUCUAGGGGUUCUGAGAGGAAGGUCCCCCACACUGGAACUGAGACACGGUCCAGACUCCUACGGGAGGCAGCAGUGAGGAAUAUUGGUCAAUGGACGCAAGCCUGAACCAGCCAUGCCGCGUGAAGGAAUAAGGUCCUAUGGAUCGUAAACUUCUUUUGUGCGGGAGCAAUAAGGGCCACGUGUGGUCCGAUGAGAGUACCGUACGAAUAAGCAUCGGCUAACUCCGUGCCAGCAGCCGCGGUAAUACGGAGGAUGCGAGCGUUAUCCGGAUUUAUUGGGUUUAAAGGGUGCGUAGGCUGUUUGUCAAGUCAGGGGUGAAAUGCCGGUGCUCAACACCGGAGCUGCCCUUGAUACUGUCAGGCUUGAAUUCGGAUGCCGUGGGAGGAAUGAGUAGUGUAGCGGUGAAAUGCAUAGAUAUUACUCAGAACACCGAUUGCGAAGGCAUCUCACGAAUCCGACAUUGACGCUGAGGCACGAAAGCGUGGGGAUCAAACAGGAUUAGAUACCCUGGUAGUCCACGCAGUAAACG
rnacentral:rRNA from 1 species